AACGCGUUGGUGACCUGCCUCGAAUUGGGAUAACAGUUCGAAAGGACUGCUAAUACCGGAUGUGAUCGCGGAGAUUAGAGGCUCUGUGAUUAAAGGAGAAAUUCGGCUUCGAGAGGGGGCCUGCGUCCCAUCAGCUAGUUGGUAAGGUAAAGGCUUACCAAGGCGAUGACGGGUAGGGGACCUGAGAGGGUUGGCCCCCCCACAAUGGAACUGAAACACGGUCCAUACACCUACGGGUGGCAGCAGUAGGGAAUAUUGCAUAAUGGGCGAAAGCCUGAUGCAGCAACGCCGCGUGUGCGAUGAAGGCCUUCGGGUCGUAAAGCACUUUUGGAGGGGAUGAGGAAGGACAGUACCCUUCGAAUAAGCUUCGGCUAACUACGUG
rnacentral:rRNA from 1 species